GACGAACGCUGGCGGCGUGCCUAAUACAUGCAAGUUGAGCGCUGAAGGUUGGUACUUGUACCAACUGGAUGAGCAGCGAACGGGUGAGUAACGCGUGGGGAAUCUGCCUUUGAGCGGGGGACAACAUUUGGAAACGAAUGCUAAUACCGCAUAAAAACUUUAAAUACAAGUUUUAAGUUUGAAAGAUGCAAUUGCAUCACUCAAAGAUGAUCCCGCGUUGUAUUAGCUAGUUGGUGGGGUAAAGGCUCACCAAGGCGAUGAUACAUAGCCGACCUGAGAGGGUGAUCGGCCACAUUGGGACUGAGACACGGCCCAAACUCCUACGGGAGGCAGCAGUAGGGAAUCUUCGGCAAUGGACGAAAGUCUGACCGAGCAACGCCGCGUGAGUGAAGAAGGUUUUCGGAUCGUAAAACUCUGUUGGUAGAGAAGAACGUUGGUGAGAGUGGAAAGCUCAUCAAGUGACGGUAACUACCCAGAAAGGGACGGCUAACUACGUG
rnacentral:rRNA from 1 species